UGAAAACACUGAUUCUUGUUUGAUCACCGAAGUUAAGCAAUGUCAAGCCUGGUUAGUACUUAGAUGGGGUAGCAUUUGAGAACACUGGGUACUGUA